AUUGAACGCUGGCGGCAUGCUUUACACAUGCAAGUCGAACGGUAACAGGCCGCAAGGUGCUGACGAGUGGCGAACGGGUGAGUAAUGCAUCGGAACGUGCCCAGUCGUGGGGGAUAACGCAGCGAAAGCUGCGCUAAUACCGCAUACGAUCUCUGGAUGAAAGCGGGGGACCGAAAGGCCUCGCGCGAUUGGAGCGGCCGAUGUCAGAUUAGGUAGUUGGUGGGGUAAAGGCCCACCAAGCCAACGAUCUGUAGCUGGUCUGAGAGGACGACCAGCCACACUGGGACUGAGACACGGCCCAGACUCCUACGGGAGGCAGCAGUGGGGAAUUUUGGACAAUGGGCGCAAGCCUGAUCCAGCAAUGCCGCGUGCAGGAAGAAGGCCUUCGGGUUGUAAACUGCUUUUGUACGGAGCGAAAAGGCUCCCUCCAAUACAGGGGGCUCAUGACGGUACCGUAAGAAUAAGCACCGGCUAACUACGUGCCAGCCGCCGCGGUAACAC
rnacentral:rRNA from 1 species